UUCCAGAAUGGAUAUUUUAAAAAGCAAAGUGUUUCAAGGCCAAAGAAUACAGCUCAAGAUACUAUAAAACAAAUCUAUUUGGAACCUAUAAGGCAUUAGAAGUUGCAACUCUUGUGCUAAACUCUGAUACCAUAUCAGAAAAACUUUGGAUACAUUUUUUCAGUGAGGUUACAGAAUACCCUUGACAAGUUUUGCAAAGAGAUUUUUGUAGCAUGGGGCCAAGAAGAAAAGCGGAACAGAGAAAGGAAAAGGGACCCUUCUCUCGCUUUGCCCCAUGGCAGAGCUAUUAAAUGUGAGAUUAGUCUGCUUAGACAGUGAGUGAGUCAAGUUAUCCAAAAGGCUGUGCAUUAAGAACUCUUCAUAUUAACUUUAGGCAGGAAUAUCUUGAACUGUUCAGCUGUGAGCUGAUAUUCAAGGCAACAGAGAUACUGAGAAAGUCAGAACCGAGGAUUCCUUUCCCAUUUGCUGGGAUAACCGUGAAAUUGCUUAAAGGAAAUGUGCUAUAUUAUUCUGAGAAAUCAAUGACAAAUAAGCAACACCCAAAGUGUACCACACUGAUGAUUUCUUGAAUAAAAGGCUCAUUUCUCCUCGUGAUUUCUUUCUUUUUUUCUGGUCUCUGCUUCUAGCUAUCCUUCAACUUUACCAACAAACAUUUGGUUUGUGAAGCCAAGAGGCUCCAUAAAAGGUUAAAAAUAAUUCAGCUAUAUUGUGUUGAACUUAAUUGAAGUGUCAUGAACCAUCUUGAGAGCAGGAGAACCAGUUCUCUCUUGUUGCUAUUGGCUUAGUCUGUUUACCUUUCUGGUGCCCUGUCCUCUGAAGCUUGGGCUGGGAGGCCUGGUGAGGAAUGUUUCCUCUGAGGUUUCGACAGGUUUGGCUGUUCAGCACUGCCUCAGAAGCUGCUUGGCUGCAGAUCAAAGCUCUCCAGCCAACACCAUGUGACCUUGAGGAUGGAAAACACGUGCUUGGGGAGACAGAAGAAGGCUGAGAGCCUGGUGACUUCAUGGAGCUGCCAAAACAGUUGACUGCUUUACUCUCAAUAAAGUGAGAAAAGAAACCCACCUACGUGAACGACUGGACUUUCUUAUGUGAAGCCAAACUUCGUGGUAACAGAUAAUAGCGACCCUCUGUGAUAACCAGGAGAUCAGUCCUGGGUGUUCACUGGAAGGAAUGAUGCUGAAG